rnacentral:misc_RNA from 1 species
UAAAGAUAGGGAUGUUGACUUGGGUAAGUUCUUGGUUAGUGCAUUCUUUUACUAGUAUGUGUUUAUGUGGUUAAUAGCUUGUAGCUUUUUGGAACAGUCUAUAACAUUGACACCCUAAACGGUACUUGAUCAUAUGCUGUAGUUUGGUAGUCUUGGCUGUAAAAUGUCUUCCAAUUGUUUAUACGAGCAUUGGCCUAAUAGAUAAAUUAGGCCUUGAACUAUUUGGG